GGAGCGAGGCGCCACGAAUCUGCCGAAAAACACCGAGCGCGAGGAACUUUACAGAGCCGCUGUCAUUCGGACGCGCGAGGAAUAACGAUAAACCCGCGGCGGUCACUGGCGGUCGAUGCGGUCCGUUUCUGAACAGUCUGCGCUCUGUCUGAGGGUUUAACAAAGGUGGGAGACGCGUCUGCUGUCCCCUAUCACCGGGGGGAAGGUCCAGAGAAGAGCGUAGACAGAAUAAGAGAUGAGAAUCUUUACAAAAGUGUUAAAAUGUUUGUAGGGUAAUGCAAAAUUCACAGCUUGGCCAACAGAUAUGAUCUUUAAA